rnacentral:rRNA from 1 species
CCUACGGGUGGCAGCAGUGGGGGAUAUUGCACAAUGGGGGAAACCCUGAUGCAGCGACGCCGCGUGGGUGAAGAAGCGCCUCGGCGCGUAAAGCCCUGUCAGCAGGGAAGAAAAUGACGGUACCUGAAGAAGAAGCCCCGGCUAACUACGUGCCAGCAGCCGCGGGAACACGUAGGGGGCAAGCGUUAUCCGGAUUUACUGGGGGUAAAGGGGGCGCAGACGGCGAUGCAAGCCAGGAGUGAAAGCCCGGGGCCCAACCCCGGGACUGCUCUUGGAACUGGGUGGCUAGAGUGCAGGAGGGGCAGGCGGAAUUCCUGGUGUAGCGGUGAAAUGCGUAGAUAUCAGGAGGAACACCGGUGGCGAAGGCGGCCUGCUGGACUGCAACUGACGUUGAGGCCCGAAAGCGUGGGGAGCAAACAGGAUUAGAUACCCCGGUAGUC